rnacentral:rRNA from 1 species
AGUGAACGCUGGCGGUAGGCCUAACACAUGCAAGUCGAACGGCAGCACAGGAGAGCUUGCUCUCUGGGUGGCGAGUGGCGGACGGGUGAGGAAUACAUCGGAAUCUACUCUGUCGUGGGGGAUAACGUAGGGAAACUUACGCUAAUACCGCAUACGACCUACGGGUGAAAGCAGGGGACCUUCGGGCCUUGCGCGAUUGCAUGAGCCGAUGUCGGAUUAGCUAGUUCGCGGGGUAAAGGCCCACCAAGGCGACGAUCCGUAGCUGGUCUGAGAGGAUGAUCAGCCACACUGGAACUGAGACACGGUCCAGACUCCUACGGGAGGCAGCAGUGGGGAAUAUUGGACAAUGGGCGCAAGCCUGAUCCAGCCAUACCGCGUGGGUGAAGAAGGCCUUCGGGUUGUAAAGCCCUUUUGUUGGGAAAGAAAUCCAGCUGGCUAAUACCCGGUUGGGAUGACGGUACCCAAAGAAUAAGCACCGGCUAACUUCGUGCCAGCCGCCGCAGUAA